rnacentral:lncRNA from 1 species
UCAUGAAGAAUGGAAUUCAGAGGUACAUGGAUCACAUAGUCUAAUGAUAAAACUUUGGAGUCGUAUCAGGCUUUAUAAUUUACGGAGCACUUUCCCAUCUAUCACCUUACUUUAUUCUCACAACAAUCUAUCAAGGAAGGCAGUAUGGCUGUUUUUAUUUCUGUUUCACAGAAGAGGAAAUGGAAGCUCGGAGAGGUUAAAUGGCUUGCCCAAGGUCGUCCAGAUAUAAGGCGGGGGUGUAACAUUCCCUUGCAUCUCCAGGUUCCUGGGCUCUGACACACCCCGCCCCCAUCCCAUGACACCAAGCUGCUUCCUGCAGUGGCAUUGUUAGGGGCAACAAGAAUGGACUUCUAGCAAGGCUGCUUCCACAAAGCUGGCAAAGAAUCAGAGAUCGGGUGCUGGAGAAUUCAGGGCAAGAGCCGAGGAGUCCCUGGUCCCUCUGCUGCCAACUGCCCACCUCCCCAAGGCACCAAGGCACGCCAUCAUCUGGAUGAUUGCUUGAUUGGCACUGCUUGCUGAAACGGCUAUUUGAGAGAUGUGAAAAAGAUGGAGAGUAGAGAGGAAGCCUGUGAAAAUACCUCCACAAUUGCAGCUGCAGCUGAUAUUCGACUGAGAAUGGAGCUGAAAUUUCCUACUUACAGGCCAUACAAUGUGGGAGCUAAAGGCAGCUGCCUGUUGUUGUUUCAGAGGUCCCACCUGCAAAAUCCACGUUUGAGAACCCCAGACCAGCUCGCUUCCAGGGUGGGACGCCUGCCACAGCAUGGCCUUUCCCAAGCGGUGCCACGUCCGCACCCAGGAUUCGAACCAGCGAACCCCAGGCCGCUGAGAAGCAGAACGUGCCGCUGUGCCAUCGGGCCAGCCCCUCAAAUUUCCCUGCCAGCUGGCCUCCGAGUGGCUCUGAGCUUGCCCUGGUAUCAGAUUUCUCUCAAGAAUUUGGAGUUACAAAGCCAAGCUCUACCAGUGAUGUUGAAAACUGAUUAUUAGAGAGCACAAUGUAACUGUGAGGUAGCUGUAAAAGGUUUCUCCGUGCAGAUGAAACCUUUCAGAUUCCUGCUUUGCUGUUGUCUCUCUCCUGGUUCUCGUCUUUCUAACAGUAAACAGAAUCCUGGUGUCUUCAUCCUACUUCUGCUGUCAUACUUUUCUAAAAUUGAGCUGCCUUGGAUCCACUUCCCAGUUACAUUGAAGAAUUAAUGUGAUGACUUCCGAAUCAGAGGAUCAAAUUGAGCAUGGACUAAGAGACUCUAGUCCCACAUCAAACAUAUAGAAAUGUCAGAAAAAAAAUUAUUCAAAGUCAAAUUAAAAGGAGCCAAGCAGAAAUCUUAAACAUCAGAAACAGAGUCAUUGAAAUAAAGAGCUCAAUAGAUGGGUUUUAGAAUAGUUUAGACACAGAUAAAGAGAGAAUUGGUGAC